GACGAACGCUGGCGGCGUGCUUAACACAUGCAAGUCGAACGGGCCUUGUCCCCUUUUUUUUUGGGGGUGGGGUUAGUGGCGAACGGGUGAGUAACACGUGAGUAACCUGCCCCUCACUUCUGGAUAACCGCUUGAAAGGGUGGCUAAUACGGGGUGUUCUGGCCUGCUCGCAUGGGUGGGUUUGGAAAGAUUCGACCGGUUUUGGUUGUUUUGGUGGGGGAUGGGCUCGCGGCCUAUCAGCUUGUGGGUGGGGUGAUGGCCUGCCAAGGCUUUGACGGGUAGCCGGCCUGAGAGGGUGGGCGGUCACACUGGGACUGAGACACGGCCCAGACUCCUACGGGAGGCAGCAGUGGGGUAUAUUGCACAAUGGGCGCAAGCCUGAUGCAGCGACGCCGCGUGAGGGAUGGAGGCCUUCGGGUUGUGAACCUCUUUCGCCAGUGAAGAAGGUCCUGCUCUUUGUGGUGGGGUUGACGGUAGCUGGGUUAAUGAAGCGCCGGCUAACUACGUG
rnacentral:rRNA from 1 species